CAAGAGCCUCCAGAGAUUUGGGAUAGUUUAACCCAUUCACUGCCUCGAGGAUCUGCUCGUUGCUGUGGAUUUCUGGCAGAUAAUCUGUGUUUUUUCACUGGUCCCUACUGCAAAGGUGUAAAUCUCUGAGAGGCUGGAAUCAAUCUACAGAGUUGGAUGUUUCAUUAACACUCAGAUGUGAGCACCAGUGAUGUAAAUUCCAUCAUUCCACUCCACACUGCAGCAUAUCUGAGGUGAGUAAAUCCUUCUGAAGUAGCUACCAAAUUGGCUUCAUUUUUCUUCUUGCACGUUAACCUCUGUAAAGAAACUGAAGUGAAAGAUUGAGUCUGUUCAGCUUGAACCCAGUCUUACAGAAAAGGAAAGCAGAGAGGUUUGAGUCAUUUAUUAAAA